UUUAAUCCAUUUAUUAAACAAAUUAAAUUAAAUUAAAUGAAUUAAAUAAAUUAAAUAGAUUAAAUGAAUUAAAUAAAUCUGAUUAAAUGGAUCAGAAAUAUAUUAAACAAGUUUUAAACAGAUCUUAAACAGAUUAAAUAUGUUAAAUGAGUUAAACAUGUUAUUCGACUCAGCCCAAUCGAAAUAUUAAAUAGGUUAAAUAAAUUAAAUGGA
rnacentral:lncRNA from 1 species